AUUUAAGAUUUUAAAGAUAUUUCCUUAAUGUGUCUCUUUCAGCGUUAACCCACUGGUGAAACUUCUUGAUCAAAAACCAAAACCUGCAGGCACUUCCUGCCUUAACCUGCAUCAGUCUCUCCUUAAAGAGGCGCUAACAGGAAAUAGCAAGACUGUCCUCAUCUAUUGCAUUGACCCACAAGGUAGGAGUCAUUCAACCAAAGCUUGUAACCAGAGUCACAACCAACACGUGAAUUAUUGGAGCAUCUUUUCCUGCAGAUGAUGAGACGCUAUGUGCAUUAGAGCUGACCCAAAGGGUGAGAGCUUUGACGACCAAAGCCUCUGUUGGACGUUGGAGUCCUGGAGUGGCCGAGCGAGAGAUCCGCGACAGGAUCAGAGACUUAAGGAGCGAAAUGAUGUCACAGGGUGGAGAUGAGAACUUUGUUUACAGACUCAGUGAACUGACUCAAUACCUGCAGAUUGUGAAAAAUCACUCAUGGGAGAAGAGGAGGGAGGAGUCUGAGAAGAUCAAAGACAAAAUGAAGAACUUGACAUCCGUAAAUGGAAACCAGCAGUUUUCUGAAGGUCCUCACAAAGACCAAAGUGAGACAGAUACAAUAAGAUAUCUACAGGAUCAGCUCAGACAGGAAAUGGAAGAGCACAUUAAAGGUAACACCCGAGAUCCAUAAAUAGACACAUAUGUGAUGCAAUACCUGUAUAUCUGGAAUGUUCUCGUACUUUCAGAAGGCAAAGGCAAUGUGGAAAAAGUCCGAGCAGGAUCAGAAAAUCCAGCAGCUGAGGGAGACUCUGAGGGUGGAGACGCUGAAGAAUGGGGCGUCCACGGGGAUGUCUCCAGCCUCUCAACAGCCACAGCUGGAUUACAACCAAGCACAGGAGCGAAGAAGGCAACUGAAGGAGGAUCAUGGGAGAUUACUGCAGGAGGAGGUGGAGAAGAUGGAGAAAGACUUGGCACGAGAGCAGCUCCCAAUGGAGGGUGUUCACAGGGAGCUGCUGCUGCUCAGCAGGGAAAGGCAGGCUCUGGUUCUGCAGAUUGAAGCCCUGCAUGAUGAGGCUCAGCUGGCUGAGAGAGACCUGCAGGAUCAGCAGCUCAGACACCAAGCAGAGCUGCACAGUCUGAGGGAGGAGAGCCUGCAGGUGUUCAGAGUUUUUCGUCAGGCGAGCCAGGAGCGGAGGAAGGUUUCAGAGAGCCGACACAGAGGUGUGCUGCUGGAAGCUGUGCAGGAUGCCAUCUACCUGUCUGCACAAAACCAGCAACUCCAAGCUGACAAUAAACAACUCCGUAAAGGUCAGUGCUUGGUCUGUUAGGCCCCAACAGACGGUGCAUGGUGACGUUAAUCAUUUUGGACUUUGUUGUUUUUAUUGCAGCACUGGGUGAGCUGAAGGAUGCUGUAACUGUGAGCGGUGAGCCUAUGGUUGAUCUGAAAUCCACCCAACAGUGAUGAAUGUUGAUAUUGUGUAUGCAUAUGCAAGUAAAUAUAUAUUCAGCUGUGUACGCAUUCAUUUAUGGAAAUAUAUCUAUAGAAAAGAGUUGACAUAAAUGCUAAUGAGACGAUUUCUAUUGUUUUAAGGAGUACGGAGUUGGUAAAUUACAUCAUUACAGAUAUUGUGGUUUGAUUUGAUAGUAGUUUGUCAAUGGAUUAUUUUCCCCAUUUUCCACAAUUGUUCUAAAUGUUAAAGUAAAAGGAAUAUCCAAUAAAAGCAUAUAAAAUGAAAAAAACUCA
rnacentral:lncRNA from 1 species